GACGAACGCUGGCGGCGUGCUUAACACAUGCAAGUCGAGCGGAAAGGCCCUUCGGGGUACUCGAGCGGCGAACGGGUGAGUAACACGUGAGUAACCUGCCCCCUACUUUGGGAUAACCCUCGGAAACGGGGGCUAAUACCGGAUAUGACGCUUGCCGGCAUCGGUGGGUGUGGAAAGUUUUUCGGUGGGGGAUGGGCUCGCGGCCUAUCAGCUUGUUGGUGGGGUAAUGGCCUACCAAGGCGACGACGGGUAGCCGGCCUGAGAGGGCGACCGGCCACACUGGGACUGAGACACGGCCCAGACUCCUACGGGAGGCAGCAGUGGGGAAUCUUGCGCAAUGGGCGAAAGCCUGACGCAGCAACGCCGCGUGGGGGAUGAAUGCCUUCGGGUUGUAAACCCCUUUCAGCAGGAACGAAAAUGACGGUACCUGCAGAAGAAGGCCCGGCCAACUACGUGCCAGCAGCCGCGGUAACACGUAGGGGCCAAGCGUUGUCCGGAUUUAUUGGGCGUAAAGAGCUCGUAGGCGGUUGGGUAAGUCGGGUGUGAAAACUCCAGGCUCAACUUGGAGACGCCACCCGAUACUGCUCUGACUUGAGUUCGGUAGGGGAGUGGGGAAUUCCUGGUGUAGCGGUGAAAUGCGCAGAUAUCAGGAGGAACACCGGUGGCGAAGGCGCCACUCUGGGCCGAAACUGACGCUGAGGAGCGAAAGCGUGGGUAGCAAACAGGAUUAGAUACCCUGGUAGUCCACGCCGUAAACGUUGGGCACUAGUGUGGGCCCUAACCAACGGGGUCCGUGCCGUAGCUAACGCAUUAAGUGCCCCGCCUGGGGAGUACGGCCGCAAGGUUAAA
rnacentral:rRNA from 1 species